rnacentral:rRNA from 1 species
UGGGGAAUAUUGCACAAUGGGCGCAAGCCUGAUGCAGCCAUGCCGCGUGUGUGAAGAAGGCCUUCGGGUUGUAAAGCACUUUCAGCGAGGAGGAAGGUGGUGAACUUAAUACGUUCAUCAAUUGACGUUACUCGCAGAAGAAGCACCGGCUAACUCCGUGCCAGCAGCCGCGGUAAUACGGAGGGUGCAAGCGUUAAUCGGAAUUACUGGGCGUAAAGCGCACGCAGGCGGUUUGUUAAGUCAGAUGUGAAAUCCCCGGGCUCAACCUGGGAACUGCAUUUGAAACUGGCAAGCUAGAGUCUCGUAGAGGGGGGUAGAAUUCCAGGUGUAGCGGUGAAAUGCGUAGAGAUCUGGAGGAAUACCGGUGGCGAAGGCGGCCCCCUGGACGAAGACUGACGCUCAGGUGCGAAAGCGUGGGGAGCAAACAGAUUAGAUACCCUGGUAGUCACGCUGUAAACGAUGUCGAUUUUGGAGGUUGUGCCCCUUGAGGCGUGGCUUCCGGAGCUAACGCGUUAAAUCGACCGCCUGGGGAGUACGGCCGCAAGGUUAAAACUCAAAUGAAUUG